AUCGAAUAGUCGCGUAUAGCAUGGUCGAAAGAUAGCGUACGAGGAAAGUCCGGGCUCCAUAGAGCAAUGAUGCUGGAUAACGUCCAGUGAGGGAAACCUUAAGGAAAGUGCAACAGAAAAUAACCGCCUUCUAGAAGUUAGAGGUUGGGCAUUAGUGCAAGCUAACUAAUUUCUAGCCUCUAGCUUCUAGUAAGGUAAGGGUGAAAAGGUGAGGUAAGAGCUCACCGCCAGUAUGGUGACAUAUUGGGACAGUGUAAACCCCAUCAGGAGCAACACCGAGCCAAGAAGGUUAAUGGUCGCUCGCCAGUCUUCUUACAUUGGUGGCAUGAUGCAUAUAGUAAUAUAUGUACUAGAUAGAUGACUAUUCAAGACAGAACCCGGCUUAUAGAUUUACUUU
rnacentral:RNase_P_RNA from 1 species